rnacentral:rRNA from 1 species
GAUGAACGCUGGCGGCGUGCUUAACACAUGCAAGUCGAACGAUGAAGCCCAGCUUGCUGGGUGGAUUAGUGGCGAACGGGUGAGUAACACGUGAGUAACCUGCCCUUAACUCUGGAUAAGCCUGGGAAACUGGGUCUAAUACCGGAUAGGAGCGUCCACCGCAUGGUGGGUGUUGGAAAGAUUUAUCGGUUUUGGAUGGACUCGCGGCCUAUCAGCUUGUUGGUGAGGUAAUGGCUCACCAAGGCGACGACGGGUAGCCGGCCUGAGAGGGUGACCGGCCACACUGGGACUGAGACACGGCCCAGACUCCUACGGGAGGCAGCAGUGGGGAAUAUUGCACAAUGGGCGAAAGCCUGAUGCAGCGACGCCGCGUGAGGGAUGACGGCCUUCGGGUUGUAAACCUCUUUCAGUAGGGAAGAAGCGAAAGUGACGGUACCUGCAGAAGAAGCACCGGCUAACUACGUG